rnacentral:misc_RNA from 1 species
AUUGAGCUUGGUGGGUUGCUACUGGUUGGGUGUCUUCGGGGAUGUCUACCGUAAAGGUGCAUGAGUGGUGUUUGGUUUGUUACGGGUGGUUGGCUCUUUGCUUGCGCAACAACUUCUACCUGGCAUACCUCUUCAGUCUUGUGUCAAUGCUUGUAUUGCAUUGAAUGCACGGUGGGUUUCUUGUGUUGCAUGCCUAAUUAAUGGUAUUGCUUGAUGAAUUGGUUUUCCUUUCGUUUUGCAUUGCCUAUGCGAUGUGAGAUGAACCUUGAAGCAGCCUUUGUGAUCCACUGAUUUGAUGCAUAUGCAUUGAUUUUGUGGCCCAUUGAGUGUUGCUCGGUCUCAUGGAUAUGGAACCUGGUGUGGGCAUGGAAUCUUAAUGGUUCCUUGUUUGCCCAAGUUUAGCUUUUCUAAAACGAUUGUCUAUCAUGUGCUAACAUGCUAG